CAAUAGCGUAUAUUAAAGUUGUUGCAGUUAAAAAGCUCGUAGUUGGAUUUCUGGUUGAAGCGACCGGUCGGGCGUUGAUUCGUCUGCACUGGAGUCGGUUUUGGCCAUCCUCUAGGAAAGUGCGUCUGGUAUUAAGUUAUCGGGCGUAUGAUCCUGGUCUUUUACUGUGAAAAAAUUAGAGUGUUUAAAGUAGGCCUUCGCCUUGAAUACAUUAGCAUGGAAUAAUAAGAUAGGACUUUGGUCUAUUUUGUUGGUUUGCAGACCGAAGUAAUGAUUAAUAGGGAUAGUUGGGGGUAUUUAUAUUCCGAUGUCAGAGGUGAAAUUCUUAGAUUUUCGGAAGAUAAACUUAUGCGAAAGCAUUUACCAAGGAUGUUUUCAUUAA
rnacentral:rRNA from 1 species